GCCUCUCCCGGGCAGGGUGGCGGCAGCUGCCCCCGAGGACGGAAAGAAGUGACAGGGGAGCGGGAUCUCCGGCCUGGACCCGGCUCUUCUGCCUGACCUCGGCCAGCCGCUCUCGUCAGCACCGUGGUGCCUCCUCCUCCGGCAGCCCCCGUAGGUUUGGGGGAAGAAACAAGGGACAGCUCACGCCCAUCUCUUCUCUAAAACAGCUUCCAGUUUCAGGUACAGGCUGUGCUAAGGAGGAGCUCCCUGCCACCUAAAACUAGGAUGAGUUACUCUUCCCAGCUCUUGGGAUCAGCGCAAGCCCCACCUGUUUGUGCAAGCAGCACCAACGGCAGGCAACGUUUAGUCUAAAAAGUCUAUCCCUAAUCUCCACUUGCAAAUCUGUGAAGGCAAUGGGAAACGCGAACUGUAAAUAUUUUAGGUACCGACAGAGAAACUCUUGAGCUAUAUAUAUGGCACCUGCAAGGAUGGCAGUACUAAAUGUAUGUUUAUGCUGAAAUGAUGUUUAAAGUGGACUGCAUGCUCCCAUAACUUCCCUCCUGAAGCAGACACCAUUUGGUUCAAAAGCAGAGCACUGAAAAAAAAAUUAACCAAGGAAGAGAGAGAAAAACAGACUGAUGAAUACAAUGGAAUGAAAUUGGGAAUAAAUGUGGAGGCUGUGAUGGAAAGGAAAAGGACACUAGAGUUGGAAAUGCAAAUCUGGAUCUGGGAUCGGUAUCAUGUUAGGGGCUGAACUGGAGCACCAUACUUCUGGAACAAGGCAGUUGUUGCUGCUUAAAACUGCUAUCUGAGAGACGUGCUUCCCAUUCUGAGGAUACUGGAAAUGAGUGAGUCAUUGUACCUUAAAGGAAGACACAGCACAGGUUUUAUUCAGAAAUUUCUUAAUGCUACUUCUUAGAUGAUUUCUGAAUAAUGUAUUCUGUGUGAAGGACACUUUUUUAUCACUUACGUAGCACCAUUUCACUAAACAGUCUCCUGAAUGUCACUGUCACACAAUUCUACACAAUUCUGGGCUGCAGUGACCUGAAAUUUCUGGGUCUGAGAGUCAGACUUUGCAAUAGUAUAUAACAGCUGUUUCCUCUUCAGAAAUGAUUACAUGAUUUUUAGUAUUUAGCUGGGGAUAGUUUUCAACAAGCAGCUAGUAUGUUUGCUCUGUUUUGGUAAUUUUUGUGAAACUAAAUUGAUAAUUCAGUUAGUAAAAUAUGUAUGCUACUGAAAAUCAGUUAUACUGUAUUUUAGUUAAAUUUGUUUUGUAUUAUAGCAAAGUUCUUGAAGUACUGUUCACUUAUUAAUACAUACAAGCAUAACCAAUUUACAAACUUUGUUCUUUUACACAUCAGGAGCCUGUUAUAUUGUUACUUAACACUAAUAUUUUUGUGGCUGCUGUCCAGGCCUCCAUGUCAUUUCCACUGAAAUUCUUUGGCAGUUCAAAAAAUAAUCCAGGUCGUGGGAGUGAGAGUACUGCCCAUGCAGAAUCAGAUAUGUAUGUUGUAAUUUAUGCAUGAUUUUGACCUGUAGGAAUGGGCAUCAUACUAUUUCUGUGAGCAGAUACAGCCUAAAGGAAAAGUUAUAAUCUGUUAACUAUCCAUCAACAGUUGUCUCCAAACCUUAUGGAGUCAAAGUAGAGAACUUACUUACAGAGUGACCAAGGAUAAGUAAGGAUGGCAGAGUCUUAUUUGUGAUCUAAGCAAUGUCUGAUAAUAUGGAAGGGAUGCAGGUUUACAGGCAGUUUUAAAAUUGAACUAGAAAUUUACCUAGGGGCUAGAUAUUUCUGAAAUGACUACUGACUUUCUGCGCUGGUAUAUAAAAUGAUGCUUGUCAGACUAGUUAUUCCCACUGCAACUAGUUUUACAAUACUUUUAUGUGAUUUAACAUUUUUAUCCACAAAAUUUGGCGUACAAUAUAAUUAGAAUAAAUUAAAUUAUGGUUAACCUAAAUUAUUUAAUGAUUGCUGCAUGAAUACUAAGACCACAUACAGGCCCAGGUAUUACUUAGGUGGGAUUAUUAAGACAAUAGAUAUAAAAGAAUCGCUAAACACUGCUCCUCUAUUCUUUUGUGCAAGUUUCCUUACUUGUAAUGAUUUAAUGAGUUAAGAGAGGCUGCCCAUAGGAAUAGGGAAUCAAUAGCUUUAAAUUGUCAUUGAUCUUUUAAUGUUUAUUGGAGUUGGUUGCUGCUGCUGCUGCUGCUUUGGUUUCACUGCAUGAAACUGAAAAGCCAGAGCUAAGAAUGACAUUAUGGGGAAACCUAGUAUUUUACGCAGGAGGGGACAGGAUGAAGGAACGGAAUGGUGCAGGGGAUCCCAAGGAACCUGCAGGAAGGAGGAAGGUAAGAAUGGAAAGAAAGAAGAUUCACAGGAAAGGAAUUUAUUACAAGGAGUACUACAAUUGUGCAUCACAGUUUCUUGAAAAUGUUUGGAUUUAAAAAUUUAACCUUAACAAUUCAGCAGGCUGGGUUCUAAGAUAAUUAGAACUGUAUUUUCCUUUCAUUUAAAGUCACUGUCUUGCAAUCUUAACUUCAUUUUAUCAUAGCUUUUUUAGUUUGGAAUUCAAAUUAAGAAAUACUUCAUUUCAUUUUCAUAUGCAACAAAUAAAAGACUGGUAGACCAUGUAACCACAUGCUACAUACUACAUGAGCACUAAAAGUUGUUCCAUACAAGCCUUGUAAAUAACUUAAUGAAAGUUCACUCUUACACCAAUUGCAUCAUCUGUUUAUUUAGGAUAAUCUCAUAGAACUAAAUACACACAGGAAACAAAACCUCUGUUCCUGUGUCUUACUCCAAGAUAGGAAAAAUAACUGCAUAUAAAAAAGACUUAAUUGCAGAAUAAUUCCUUAAGUAAUAACAGAAAAUGCCCUUUCAUUUAAACCACAAUUUAGGCUUAAUCACAGGGGGAAAAAAAGUGUAUCUUUUCCUUGUCAUAGUAGACAAACAUCUCAACAUGAAGCCCUACACAGUGCUGCAGCAUUGUCAUCCUGGGUUAUAUAAACAAGGAAAUCAUAAGAUAGUGUAGGAAGACAUUUCAAACAUUAACUGUGUUUGAUUAUGCUUAAAUUUAAUGGAUCUUGACACAAUGAAGCAUGCAAAGAGAGUCUUAAAAAUAACUUGAUUAGAAUAAUGUCUUUCAGGGAUGUAAGAGAAUAUAACAAUGUGAAAUUAGAUAGAAAUAUAGACAAACAGGAGGAUAUAGAAAUAAACAUAAGUAAACUGAUCUUGAUCAAGCUGAGUAUUAUCAAGAAUAAAGGAAUUUUUAGAAAACAGAUGACAUUUAAAAAAACCCUGAAAGUUGAAAUCAAACUUAUAGAAAUAAGGCACAUUUUUUCAUCUUUCCCUUUCGAGUCUCUCAAAGAAAGUGGAGAAAUUCAUAUGUGGAUAUCUUCCAAACAUGAGUGGACGAUUUUCUAAAAGUUAUGCAUUUUGUACUACACAUUAUUAGGUUCAACAAGAAAGUAUCAGGCUAACAUUCUGGGUCUGUGUUGUAAAGACAAGAUAAUUGUCUCUGAAAUCUCCCUUCUAGAGGUCUAUAAGGCAGAUUUUUUUUCUCAUUUCAUAAGAACUUGUUACCAACAAUUUUCUGCUAACUCCAGAACUAGGAGAGAAAAAUAGACAACUUUGUGAGUAUCAAGCCUGGAUGUGUAUAUCUUUCUAACCACCUAUAACCUAUUUUGUCUUUUAAAUAUAGCAAAUAAAUACUUUUAUGUUCCAAGCAUAAAACUCAGUCCUCUAAUUGAUUUUGCAUAGGUGGCAAGAUUAGCAAAGAGCUUCUCUGGAUUCUUUGUGAGCACAAAGAUCCAACUGUAGACUUGAAAAUGCUUUGAGGAUCACAUCUCAUAGAGAAGGAAGCAUAAAAAGGAGCCUGUAGAGCCUCGGGAAUUUUCCAUGCAAUCUUAAACUGAGACAGAGUAAAGAACUUAAUCUGAAUUUAUGAUUCUGAGAGAUGCUUUUUAGUUGUCACCUAAAGCAAGAACAACCUACGUUUCAAGUAUUUUAAGAUGGCUACACCUUUUCCAGACAGCUAUACCUUUUCCAGACAUCUAUACCUUUUCCAGACAUAGUGCUGGAAUAGCAACCAGUAUCAUCAGAUCCUGAGAUGACAUUGACCAGCUGCAGCAUGCAUUGAUGACAGGUGUCAUGCACAGCCAUGUACCUGAUGUCAUCAUGUCCCUCAAACCCCUGGUGUUCACCAGUGACCAACUCCAGCUGUGCACUGCAUUCACUCCCCUACAUUCCUUUCCUUCACUUUUUCCUAAUAGCUGUACCAUCUGUGAAUGGGUAAUAGGACUAUCUGCAGCUCUGCACCACAGAGACAGAGAGGAAAGCAGAAUAAGACUGGCCAUUGGUAGGAUAUAAAAUAUGUUCUGAGCUACAGAGAUGCCAUUGCCUGCACUGACCCCCAUGUGUCCAUUUGGUUUUGAGAGAGGUACUUGGCCUUAAAUAUAAACUUACAUGGAAUCUGUUCCUUCUGCCUAGAAUGAAUGAAGUCAAAAGUACCAUUUUGAGUACGGUGUUUAUCCUCAAGGGGAAAUUUGCUCUAUAUCUUUCUCUGUACAACAGUUACUGGAGCAACUCCAAUCUUCACUUGGAGGCUCAGCCAAUAAGGCAAAGAAUAGGCCUUCUUCGGUGAGAUUCUGCAGGGUACCAGGGCACAUAUGUACAGAAAGAACAAGGACAAAGCUUUCGCUCCUUAUACAGGCUGCUCUACUCCUUUUCUUAGUAGGUAUCCCCCUGAGUCAGGCAGUUUCCUUUCUGUAGGUGGUAGGAGCUGGAACUUGGUGUGUGAAUGUCUACGGACAAUCAGAAAAUCUGGUCUUCAGGAUACCAUCAGUGUCACUAUACCUUGAUAGUUUCAGCACAGCUGUGUAGUAAGACAUUAGAGGUGAAGAAAAGGUUGCUAAAUAUUUCACCUUCGGAUCUCAAAUUUCUUUCUGUUCAAUUUUUAA